UACGUAGGGUGCGAGCGUUAAUCGGAAUUACUGGGCGUAAAGCGUGCGCAGGCGGUUGUGCAAGACCGAUGUGAAAUCCCCGGGCUUAGCCUGGGAAUGGCAUUGGUGACUGCACGGCUAGAGUGUGUCAGAGGGGGGUAGAAUUCCACGUGUAGCAGUGAAAUGCGUAGAGAUGUGGAGGAAUACCGAUGGCGAAGGCAGCCCCCUGGGAUAACACUGACGCUCAUGCACGAAAGCGUGGGGAGCAAACAGG
rnacentral:rRNA from 1 species